AUGCCUACACCAACCAGAGAGGAAGCAAAUGAUGAUCAUGAAACUUUGGAUCAAGUUACCAGUGAACCUGGUAGGUCGACCAGAACACGUAUCGCACCAGAGUGGUACGGUAAUCUUAUCCUGGAAGUCAUGUUGUUAGACAACGGCGAACCUACGAACUAUGAAGAAGCUAUGAUGAGCUCAGAUUCCGACAAAUGGCUUGAGGCCAUGAAAUCUGAGAUAGGAUCCAUGUAUGAGAACAAAGUGUGGACUUUGGUGGACUUGCCCAAUGAUCGGCAAGCCAUUGAAAAUAAAUGGAUCUUCAAGAGGAAGACGGACGCUGAUGGUAAUAUCACUGUCUACAAAGCUCGACUUGUGGCAAAAGGUUUUCUACAAGUUCAAGGGGUUGAUUACGAUGAGACUUUCUCACACGUAGUGAUGCUUAAGUCUGUCAGAAUCAUGUUAGCAAUUGCCGCAUUUUAUGAUUAUGAAAUCUGGCAAAUGGACGUUAAAACUGCAUUCCUUAACGGGUUUCUUAAAGAAGAGUUGUAUAUUAUGCAACCAAAAGGUUUUGUCGAUCCUAAGGGUGCUAACAAAGUGUGCAAGCUCCAGCGAUCCAUCUAUGAACUAGUGCAAGCAUCUCGAAGUUGGAAUAUACGCUUUGAUGAGGUGAUCAAAGCAUUUGGUAUUAUACAAACUUACGGUAAAGCCUGUAUUUGCAAGAAAGUGAGUGGGAGCUCUGUAGCAUUUCUGAUAUUAUAUGUGGAUGACAUAUUGCUGAUUGGAAAUGAUAUAGAAUUUCUGGAUAGCAUAAAAGUUGAAUAA
rnacentral:rRNA from 1 species